UGCAGUGGGGCGAUUAUGGUUCACUGUAGCCUCGACCUCCUGGGCUCAAGUGAUUCUCAUGCUUCCACCUUCCCAGUAGCUGAGACUACAGGUGCAUACCACUAUGCCUGGGUAAAAACUCAAUAUUUUAAAUGAAUUUCUGAAUUCAUGACAAAAUCAGCUCUGACUCCUUCCUAUCUUCUCUCUGACAGAUAAACCACCACCUAUUAUUAUUUAUUCAAUAGCCACAAAUUUGGGUCGUUCCAGCCCAGUCCUACACAAAGACAAGAAACCUGGGCUUUGAGCCUUAGCUGUCAUUACCAGGCAAAAGGAAGAGCCCCACUCAGCACCCGUUUCCGGUUUUACGGCCCAGGCACUGUUGAGCAGACCACUAUGUGGAAAGCCAGGGAGGAUAAUAGCAGCCCCCCAAUGAGGCCACGAGCCCCAGAACCAUCCUGAUUGCUCCCUCUGAGGUGAUGGACAGAGAAAAUUUUCCCUCCAAGGACUGACAGAGAAAGAACAACGGAGAUGUGGUCGUCUGCUGGCAUCCAUGCACUUGUGCAACUAGCAAAGCACCGAGUCCACAGGGAAAAGGGAGAGAAAGUGUAAAUGAAGGUGCAAUUGUGUGUGGAAGGCUGAGUGUGGUCACAGGAAAAUUGCCUCAUCCUUGUAUUGAAAUGCAUCUUUCAUCCCUCAACCCCAGGUUCUAAGUAGGUUCCCUCUCCCUCUCCUCAGCCAGCACCCUCAUGCCACCAUCAUCUCUCACUUAGACCACAGCUUUAUCCUCCUGACAUGUUUACCCCACUCCAAAUCAUUUUGCAGAUAUUUUAAACAUAAAUCAGAUUAUAUCAUUAAUCUGCUUCAAACCCUUGAACGGCCCUCCAUUGAUAUCAUGAUAAAAACCCAAACUGUUCAUCCCCCAAGCCCCUACUUUACCUUGCACCACUUCCCCCUCACUAUCCAAUUUCAAGCUACCUCAGCUGUUCAUCACACUGGCCCCUUACCCUGGGGCACUCCUCCCUCCACUGCCCCCAUCCCUCAUUUCCAUUCCCCUUCAUCCUCCACACCUUAUUGCAAACAUCACUUCCCCAAGGAAACCUGCCCCAAUCAAAAAAUCUAAAUUAGACCAUGAGAUAUAUUUUCUUAAAGCUCCUGUACACACUCCCCAAUUCAUAAUCAUAUAGUUUUCUGAUCAUUUUAUAGUGUCUGUUUACCUCACUACAUUGUAAAUUCCUUGGAGGUAAACAUGAUAUUAUUUUGCUCACUGUUGUAUCCCCAGUGUUCUGCACAGUGACCAGCAUGUAGUAGGUGCUCAAUAAAUCUUUACGGAAUUGAUGAAUGAAAUCCACUUCUCCUAUACUCCAUUCUCAGAGACAGAUAUUAUCAUUUAGUCUUUGCUCACGCCAGAAACCAGGGAGCCAGCCUUGAUGACUUUUUCCCCUCAUUCCCCAUGUUGUUGUUCACCAAGUGCUGUGGAUUUCACCUGGUAAAUAUCUCUCAAAUCCAUCCCUCUUCUAUAUUCAUCUAUCCAGUUUCUGAGUUAUUGCAAUAGCCCCACACUGGCCUCCUUGACUCCAGCAUUGUCCCCUCCAAGCCAUUUUCCACACUAACAGAAGAAGUGUGUGAUGUCUGCAAUGCACAUCUGAUUAAGUCAUAAAGCUGCCUUCGUGAUAAAAUUCCAAUAUAGACCCUUAGGAGGAUGUAGCAGAUCUGUUACUGACCCUGCCAGCAUCCCCAGUGUCUUAGUUCGUUUCAUGUUGCUGUAACGGAAUACCUGAGACUGGGGAAUUUAUAAAGAAAGGAGGUCUAUUUGGCUCAUGAUUUUGGUGUCUGGAAGGUUCGAGACUGGGCAGCUAGUGAGGGUCUCACACUGCUUCAACGCAUGGUAGGAAGCAGAAGGGGAGUGGGUGAGUGCAAAGAGAUCACAUAGUGAGAGAGGAAGCAAGAAAGAGAAACUGAGGAAGCCAGAUUCUUUUUAACAACCUGAUCUCCAGGAAUUAAUCCAUUCCUGAGAGAGUGAGUGAGAAAACUCACUCACCCCUAAAAGAGGACAUUAAACUACUGCCUUCAUGACACAAACACCUCCCGCUAGGCCCCACCUCCCAACACUGCCACAUUGGGGAUCACAUUUCAACAUGAGUUUUGGUGAGGACACACUGCAACCAAACCAUAGCACCAGCCUCACGGGGCUCCAUUCAUAGCCUACACCUGGCCAUAGGAAGCCACAUGUUUCUCAAACAAACCAUUCACUUUAAUGUUUCUGGGCUUUGCAGACCACUCUAACUUCUACACUUAAUUACCCACUACUCAUCCUUGAAGAUGACUUCUGGGAAGGCUUUCCUGAUCUCUCCCCACAACAACAUGGAAUGAGAUCCGCAUCCCACAUGUCCUCCCUAGACUCUGUGCCAGCCUUUAUCACAGCAUGAAACACACUGAGGUAUAAUGUCAGCCUACUCAGCCAUCUCCUCUAUUUUGAAACCUUGAGAAGAAUAGUCUUCCCUUAUUCCUCUGUUUCCAGUAUUCAGUAAUGUGUCCCAGUAGUGUUUUACCACUUCCAGAGCAUAUUCAUAUGCUUUAUCUGGUUCUACCCUCUCAACAACUCUAUGAGGUAGAUAAGACAGACAUUCUUAUCCCAAAUUCCAGAAAGGAGUUACUGAUUGCACUCUGAGCCCAUGGCAAGAUAAGCCCCCAGUCCCCUGUGUUCCCAAGUCUAAUGCUCAUGCCUCUGGAUAAGUAUUUACCAGGUGAUCCUCUGCUCAGAUCCAGAAUGCUGGGCUGGGCUCACGUACUCAUGCUGCAAAUUGGAGAACCUCAGGAGAAUCUGGCCAGCCUAAGAAAGACGACUCAGGUGCUGACAUUUGAGUUCCCUGGUGAAACAUCUGGGCCCCUCCCCUGCCCCCAGUUCACUUACCACUGGAGGACUGGGAGAACACUUUUCGCUCUCACUGGCCCACUGGUCAGUGAGUGCCCACCUCUCUCUCUCUCUCACACACUCACACAGACACACACGCAUAUGACUUCCAAUCAACUCUCUAAUGCUCCUCUGGAUAGCUAAGCAUCACCAGACAUUUGAAGAAACCCUCCAACAUGAAAAACAGAGACCAUGAUAAACAGGAAAUAAAGGAACUCAAUGGAAACAGACACAAUAUAAGAAGUAGAAGGAAACUAAAACAAGCAAACAAGAAACCCCUCAAAUUCCCACCAUUAAUAACAUACACAGGGAGAUAGCUUUGUUAAGAAGAACAUAUCUUACCCAUGAUAUAAGAUGAGAAUUUGUUUUUAUUUCUGUAACAGCUUCAUUGGGACAAAAUCCACAUGUCAUACAAUUCACACAUUUAAAGUGUACAAUUCAAUGUUUUUAGUAUAUUCACAAAGUUGUGCAACCAUCACUACAAUUAAUGUUAAAACAUUUUCAUCACCUCGAAAAGAAAACCCAUACCUUUUCCCUAUCCAGCCUUAAGCAACCACUAAUUCACUUUCUGUCUCUAUAGAUUUCUCUAUUCUGGACAUUUCAUGUAAAUAGGAUGAUAUGAUAUACAACAUUUUGGCUUCUGCCACUUAACAAUGUUUUUAAGUUUCACCAAGUUGUAUCAGUACUUCAUUUCUUUUUAUGGCUGAAUAAUAUUCCAUUAUAUAAAUAUACCACAAAGUGUUUAUUCAUUUGUUCGCUGAUGGGCAUUUGAGUCGUUUCUACCUUUUGACUAUUAUGAAUAAUGUUGCUAUAAAAAUUUAUGUAAAAUGUUUUGUGUUGACAUAUGUUUCAUUUUCCUUAGGUACAUACGCAGAAGCACAAUUGCCAGGUCAAUUAGUAACUCUACGUUUAACACUUGAAGAACUGAGGAACUGACAGACUGUUUUCCAAAGAAGCAGUCCCAUUUUCUUAUAUUCCCACCAGCAAUGCAUGAGGAUUCCAGUGUUUCCCUAUCUUCACCAACCCUUAUUAUUAUCUGACUUUCAUUUUAUCGUAGUGGGGUGAAGUGGUGUUUCAUAGUGAAACAUAGUUUUGAUUUGCAUUUCCCUGAUGAUGUUGAGCAUCAUCAUGUGCUUAUUAUUAAAUUUGUUUGGGGGAAUGUCCAUUCAGAUCUUUUGCCCAUUUUUUAAUUUUUUUUUUGAGACAGGGUCUUGCUCUGUUGCCCAGGCUGGAAUACAGUGGGCAGUGGUGCAAUCAUGGCUCACUGCAGCUUCAGACUUCUAAACUCAAAUGAUCCUCCCACCUCAGCCUUCAGAGUGGCUGGGACUACCAACACAUGCUACCAUGCCCAGAUAAUUUUUUAACUUAUUGUAGAGACAGGGUCUGACAUUGCCUAGGCUGGUGCAAUCAAGUUCUUUAUCAGAUAUUUGAUUUGCAAAUUUUUUUUCAAAUAAAAAAUGAUGACCAGGGGCAGUGGCUCACGCUUGUAAUCCUAGCACUUUGGGAGGCGAGGCAGACCAAUCACUUGAAGUUAGAAGUUCAAGACCAGCCUGGCCAACAUGGCAAAACCCCGUCUCUAUUAACAAUACAAAAAUUAGCCAGGCAUGCUGGUGCACGCCCGUAGUCCCAGCUAUUCGGGAGGCUGAGGCAUGAGAAUUGCUUGAACCCCA
rnacentral:lncRNA from 10 species